rnacentral:rRNA from 1 species
CUACGGGGUGCUGCAGUGAGGAAUAUUGCGCAAUGGGGGAAACCCUGACGCAGCGACGCCGCGUGGAUGAUGAAGGCCUUCGGGUCGUAAAAUCCUGUCAGAAGGAAAGAAGUGUAUGGUAGCUAAUAUCUGCCAUACUUGACGGUACCUUCAAAGGAAGCACCGGCUAACUCCGUGCCAGCAGCCGCGGUGAAUACGGGAGGGUGCAAGCGUUGUUCGGAAUUACUGGGCGUAAAGCGCGCGUAGGCGGUUUUAUAAGUCAGAUGUGAAAGUCUACGGCUCAACCAUGGAAGUGCAUUUGAAACUGUAAGACUUGAGUAUUAGAGGGGGUAGUGGAAUUCCCGGUGUAGAGGUGAAAUUCGUAGAUAUCGGGAGGAAUACCGGUGGCGAAGGCGACUAUCUGGCCAAAUACUGACGCUGAGGUGCGAAAGCGUGGGGAGCAAACAGGAUUAGAUACCCUCGUAGUC